CUGCUGCCUUCCGUAGGAGUUUGGGCCGUGUCUCAGUCCCAAUGUGGCCGUCCACCCUCUCAGGCCGGCUACUGAUCGUCGCCUUGGUGGGCCUCUACCCCGCCAACAAGCUAAUCAGACGCGGGUCCAUCUUACACCACCGGAGUUUUUCACACCGGGCCAUGCGGCCCUGUGCGCUUAUGCGGUAUUAGCACCUGUUUCCAGGUGUUAUCCCCCUGUGUAAGGCAGGUUACCCACGCGUUACUCACCCGUCCGCCA
rnacentral:rRNA from 1 species